CUCCCUCGGCGCCGCCGCCUGCCUAAACCUCGUCCACCCCUCUUCCAUCCCUACAACCUUCAUAGCAACUCUGGUAGGAUCUCUAAUCUUCCUUUUAAAUCAGUACAAGUGCAAUGUGAGUGAUAAUCUGCUGUCCCCCUUUUCCCCUUGCCCUGCGUUUUGCAGGAACAAGUGGUCAGCUUCAGCUGCCACUGUAGAGGUAUGGCAAUAGGCCAUUGAGUCUUUCAUAGUUGGUAGAAGUACACCAGUAGUUGGUAGAAGUACACCACCUAGAGUAGAGGGCUGGUAUGGGCAGGUACAAGAGUAGUUGAUGGCUGAUAUAAGCCAUGUAGAGUAGUUGUAUGGAGUGGUGUAGUCACCAUCCAAGUAGUGUACCGGCAGGUACAUAUUUUGUGUAUAUAUAUUCUACCUAUGCAAUGAGAAAAGACAGUUCAUUUGCCACCAUUCCUGUGUUCAGUCUUCAGCCAACGCUGAAGACAGUGUGCUGUGUGUGUGUGUGUGUGCUGAAGUGAGCUCUGCUCUUCUUCUACCUUGGGACAGGGGAGGAGGAGAGGAGAGGAGAGCAGGUCCUGCUCACCUCGGGCAAGUGCUGCAACACGUGGUAUCGGAGCCGGAAACCGUUGCUAGGUCCAACGACCGGCGAUGGCGGACGUGGUACUGCAGGAAGGCGGCGGCGGUGGCGCGCUCCAGCUGGGGCCGCAGCAGGUGGAGGUGCGUGUGGUGCAGGAGUAUGGCGGGACCAACUCCUAGCCCAUGCUCACCCGCACCAACUACGAUGAGUGGGCGGUCCAGAUGAAGUGGAAGUUCCGCAGCCGCAAGUGGUGGAAGGCGAUUGAAGAUGACCGGAGCGAGGAUGCUCAGGUAGGCAUCACGGAAGCGCUCAUGGCUUCCACACCGGCAGAGUACCAUGAGGCGCUCGGGGCGAAGGAGACCGCGAAGGAGGCGUGGGAGAUGCUGGAGUCCUCCCGCGUCGGCUCGGACCGAGCCAAGCGGGCCAAGAUCCAGCAGCUGCGCCGGGAACUCAACGACAUCUGGUUCAAGUCCGGCGAGUUGGUGGACGAGUUCGCGCUUUGACUUUAGUCGCUCGCGAGGCAGCUGGUGAGUUUUGGCAAGCCGGUGGACGACGAGGAUCUCAUCAGCAAGCUCUUAUGUGUGGUGCCAGCGAAGUACUCGCAGCUUGCCAUGUCCAUUGAGACGAUGCUGGACAUCUCCACAUUGUCUCUAGAGGACGUGGCUGGGCAGCUACGAGUGGUGGAGAGUCGCAGCAUGUGAGCGCGGCAGCGCCAGAGAAGGAGAAGCCCAAGCUUUUGCUGUCUGAGGAAGAAUGGACGACGCGCAUGAAGGAGAAGCGCCGGACAAGGGAAGGUUCCAACCGCGGUGGUGGUGACCGCGGCGCGGCGGCAAGCAGCAGGGAAAGGGUCCGGUGGACAAAAGAAGGGGAAGAAGUUCACCGACCCGAACGCCUGCCGCAAGUGCGGCAAGGUCGGGCACUGGGCACGCGAGUGCCCGGAGCGCAAGGAGAACAAAGAAGAGGCACAUCUUGCGGAGGCCGACAGCGACGGCGAUCACGCACUUCUGAUUGGAGUGUACUGCGCGGAGCAGAGUGGCGAGGAAGAGGGGCUGGAGGUGGAGCAGAGUCCUGCGCCACCGGUCGUCCAUCACCUUGACGAGCCGCGGGCGCAGGUUCAUCUUGGGGUCGCCGGAGACGAGUCGGAGCAGAGAUGGUACCUGGACUCUGGCGCGAGCAACCACAUGAUCGGGUGCUGCCUGCCUUCUCCAAGCUUGACGAGAAACAUGCCGAGAGCGUCAGGUUCGGCGACUGCUCUCGGGUGAAGAUCUGCGGGCGAGGCACGGUGCUGUUCAGGUGCAAGAAUGGCGAGCACCAUGCGCUCUCGAAGGUCUACUACAUCCCCGAGCUUCGGUCGAGCAUCGUCAGCUUGGGACAGCUGGACGAGCACGGCGCGGAGGUGCUCAUCCGCGACGAUGUGCUUCAGAUCAGGGACCAGGACGGUCGUCUCCUAGCGAAGGUACAACGCUCACGUAACCGGCUCUAUCUCCUUGAGUUGAAGAUCGAGCAGCCAGUGUGCCUGGCAGCGGCGUGCACAGAGGAGCCCUGGCUGUGGCACGACCGGUUUGGGCACCUGAACUUUGACGCCCUGGGAAGACUUGGGAAGAUGGUGACCGGGAUGCCGAGCAUCAAGCACGCUGGGGAGCCGUGCGACAGUUGCCUCGCCGGAAAACAGAGAAGGCUGCCGCUCCCCAAGACGGCCAAGUAUCAUGCGGCGGAGUGGCUCGAGCUGGUCCAUGGGGAUCUUUGCGGGCCCAUCACGCCGGAGACGCAUGGUGGGCGACGCUACUUCCUGCUGAUCGUGGACGACAAUAGCCGCCACAUGUGGGUGCGGCUGCUAACGAGCAAAGACGAGGCAGCGGGCGCCAUCAAGGCGUUCAAGGAGCACGCGGAGGCGGCGUCCGGGAAGCAACUCCGGGUGUUGCACACCGAUCGCGGCGGGGAGUUCACGACAAGAGAGUUCGUCGUGUACUGCGCUGCCGAAGGAAUUGGGCACCACCUCACUGCACCUUACCGCAGCAGAGUGGUGUGGUAGAGCGCCAAAAUCAGACGAUUGUGGGCAUGGCCCGAUCGAUGAUGAAGGCGAAAAGCAUGACGGUGGAGUUCUAGGGGGAAGCAGUGUCCAUAGUUGUGUUCAUCCUGAACCGGUCACCGACGAAGGCGCUGAAGGGGAUUACCCCAUACGAGGCAUGGUUUGGGCGCAAGCCCAAUGUCUCGUACCUGAGGACGUUUGGCUGCGUCGGGCAUGCCAAGGUGGUGAAGCCUAGGCAGGCUAAGCUUGACGACCGAAGCGUCAAGGCGUUGUUCCUCGGCUACGACCGAGGACGAAAGGGUACCGGCUCUACGACCCGACACGCGGCAAAGUCCUAGUGUCCAGGGACUCGUUCGUUGUGGAGCGUCUAGUGAUUCACGGCCAUGGCGCGGCGGAUGUCGAGUCACUAGCUGUAGCCGAAGCAGAGGAGCCACCUAGUCCAGGCGGGGCUGGGCACCUGGAUGCGCCUGGGCUGACCGGGGAAGGAUCCCCUAGUUCGCCCGAGCAGAGGACGUCGGCGGCGGCUACGAUUGAGUACGCCACGCCACCGCCCAACGUCACUGACUUCGUGGACGCGUUCCAUGAAGGGGAGGAGGUCCGAUUCCGCAGGGUGGACAACGUGAUUGGGGAAGCAGAGGUGCCGGGCCUGGCGGUGCGCGGCCUCGACGGCGCAGACAACACUCUGCUUCUCAUGAGCGCGGAAGAGCCGGCCACAUUUGUCGUCGCGGAGCGCGAUGCGGCAUGGCAGAGGGCCAUGCUUGAGGAGGUGAAGUCCUUUGAGGACAACCACACCUGGGAGUUCGUCGAUCCGCCAACGGGAUGCCGGCCAAUUGGGCUCAAGUGGGUGUACAAGGUCAAGAGGUAUGAGCGCGGCGCCAUCGUGAAGCACAAGGCGCGCCUCGUUGCCCGCGGGUUCGUGCAGAGAGAAGGCAUUGACUUCGAGGAGGUCUUCGCGCCGGUCGCGCGCAUGGAAUCGGUGCUACUGUUGCUUGUGCUCGCGGCGGCCAAGGACUGGCAAGUCCAUCACCUCGACGUCAAGUCUGCCUUCCUCAACUGCGACCUGGCAGAGGUUGUUUUCGUCAAGCAGCCACCGGGGUUCGUGAAGAAAGGGGAGGAGUGAAAGGUGCUUCGGUUACGCAAGGCGCUCUACGGGCUUCACCAAGCCCCGCGCGCCUGGAAUCCCAAGCUCCACGCCACCAUGGUGGAGCUCGGGUUCACGCGGUGUGCCAGUGAGCACGCUCGGUACACUCGACAACGGGGAAGGAACACCUCAUCGUCGGGGUGUACGUCGACGAUCUCAUCAUCACGGGCGCACGCGCGAGUGAUAUCGCGGUCUUCAAGGAGGAGAUGGCGGCGCGUUUCAGGAUGAGCGAUCUCGGCGCACUCUCCUACUACCUCGGGAUCGAGGUAAGGCAGGGGGAGGAUGCCAUCAGGCUUGUGCAACGCGCAUACGCGAUGAAGCUGCUUGAGCGGGCUGGGAUGGCGGGCUACAAGACGGUGGCCACACCGUUGGAGGAGAGGAUCAAGCUCUGCAAAGCAAGCACGGCGGCGAAGGCGGAUGCCACACUCUACCGGAGCAUCGUCGGUGGGCUGCGGUGGCUCACACACGCGGCCGGACAUUGCGUUUGCCGUCGGCUAUGUGAGCAGGUUCAUGGAGAACCCCUGUGAGGACCACUGGGCGGUGGUAAAGCGUCUUCUGCGCUACGUCCAGGGCACGACGGAGUUGGGGUCGGCUUACCCCAAGCGCGGCGGGCUUUGGCUAACUGUGUUCAGUGAGGCUCCGCCCAAGGAUGUGGCUGGCGCGCCAGAGCUCACGGUGUUCAGCGAUGCGGACAUGGCGGGCGACUUGGAUGGGCGGCGGAGCACCUCCGGCGUGCUUGUCUUCCUGGGAGCGGCGCCGAUUGCUUGGCAGUCUUUGAAGCAGAAGAUGGUGGCUCUGUCCACCUGUGAAUCCAGAUGGCAACGGGUACAUACCCGCUAGAUACAAUGAACCCAUACCCAUGCCCGUGAGAAAAAAACAUGCUCAUUAAAAAACCCAUACCCGCUGACGGGUACAGAUAUGUGCCCAUACCCGUACCCGCAUGGGUAACGGGUACCUGCGGGUUACCCGUGUACAAGUAGUAUGCUUCAGCUGUAUUGAAAGGAUCUAAUUGGCCUAGAGGGGGGGUGAAUAGGCGUAUCCUGAAACUCAAAAACUCAAGAUGCGGAAGUUAAAUGCCUGCCGGUACUACCGACAGUUUGGGCCGGUACUACUGGUGUAAGACAGCCAGUACUACCGACGCAACUGUUGGUACUACCGACGCCCUAAGAGAGCUACGAAAUCAGAGUAUAUUGAGUUUGGAUUUCAGAUCUGAGAGUUACCCCACUCUCCUAGAUGUAGUAGAGGGUGAUGUUGAGGUUCCCCUUGGCUCGGUUCUUCUCCAAAACGUAGAUUGGCCCUUGUUCACCUAUGAAAAGGGAGUAGAGAGGAAGAACAUGAAGAACACAAGAACAAGGGUAGUCGAUGCUACCUCCACAGCAAGACAAGAUAUUUUUCCUGAGGUUCGGCAAUCCCCACGAAGGAGUUCCUACGUCCCCGUUGUUGAGGUGACUACGAAGGUCCGACCACUUAGGUCUCCUCCCUCAAGCAACCACACAGGUUAGCUCAAGAUUUCCACUAAGAAUCAAAGGGUUAUACAAACACUUCGGGGUGCCCUCACAAAUGAAUCAACACGGGCAACCACGAAGAACGCCUAGCCGGCUAGGGUUCCAAGAACCCAAGAGUAGCAAAUGCAAACCAAACCGGCAAGACGAAGAAUCCAAGUGCUCAAGUCACAAAUCGAAGCUCCCAACUCUCUAAUCUCACUUCUCUAGCUCGAAUCUCUCAAGGAGUGAAGUCUAGGAGCAAAGAGGGAGAGAGAGUAGGUGAGACAAAGCUUGGAGACUGAUUUCUCAGAUGUAGAGUUGAAGGAAUGGGAGAGCUAACGGUCAGAAAUGAGGGAAGAGCUAUUUAUACAAAGGUCCUGAACAACUGCCGGUACUACCGGGGCAACCACCGGUACCACCGGCUACCUCAGAUCUAACGGUAAGAAGUCUCUAUGAUUUGCGAGAAAUAAGCCUACCGGUACCACCGGGCUUUUGUCGGUACUACCGACCAUUGCCGGUACCACCGGUGGAAGGCCGGUACCACCGGCAGUUCAAAUCUCCGCAACCAAAGUCAGCACAGAUUUGGCCUGCCGGUACUACCGGCGUUUCACACCGGUACUACUGGUGCUGGCCGGUACCACCGGCCCGAGCCCGGUACUACCGGUAGUUCAUUUUCUCGCAAAACUCAGGAGAAAGGCUGGCACUGCCGGUACCACCGGCCCUGAGGGUUGGUACUACCGGGUCACCCUGGCAGAGAAGAAAUUUCCUAGUGCUUCGUGCGUGCAAGUGUGUCUCUCAAGCGCAAGAGCUAAGUUGACCUGAGCACUCUUAUCCUCAUCUUACCAACUCAAUUUGCAUCCCUCUUGAUAGUGCGGCGUUUCCUAUAACUCAAGCAAAGAAUAAAAACUUUGUAGCCACUUGAGUCGAAACACCGUUGACCCAUUGGAAAUUUAGGGGUGCUAAAAUUCACCGAAUGUUUUUGUUCAAUUCCAUCAAUGGACUAACACCUGUAAAUUAUGCUCGAUAAACAUGUUAGUCCCUAAUUUGGUUGUCAUUAAUUAUCAAAACCCACAUCGGGGGCGAAUGCACUUACAUGUAUAGUUCAAGCUCUGUUGCCUUAGUUUUAUAAAGUGUGUGCUGCUUUACGUGCGCUAAACGCCGCGAGGUGGGACUAAUAUGCUUGGCACUAGCACUGGAGCAAGUAGAGCAAACGUCGUAGCACGAGGCCAAGCCGGCCCACAAUAGGAUCCGAUGGUUCGGCCACCAAGCAAGAAGAGUUGGCUUGUUCUUUUUUUUUCUAUACUAUUGUUCAAUAUUUCAAUUCUAUCCAAAAGUUUCUAAAUAUAUUUAGUGAGCAUAUAAAAUAAUUAACUAAUAAAAGAAUCACAAUAUGGAGCCGGGUAAAAUUUACCCAUGGGUUCACGGGUAUGGAUACAGCAGGAACAUAUACGUACCCGCAAACCCGAUGGGUAUGAGUUUUUACCCAUUAACAAACCCACGGGUACAAAGAGUAACCCAUGCCCGUGCGCUAAUAGAGCAAAAACCCAUCGGGUUUCGGGUCACGGGUACCCGUUGCCAUCUUUACCUGUGAAGCAGAGUACGUGGCUGCGGCCACGGCGGCGUGUCAGGUGGUGUGGCUGCGGCGGUUGCUGUCAGAGCUCACCGGAGCCCGAGCUCUGCCGCCUGCGUUGAAGGUUGACAACCAGGCAGCCAUUGCACUGGCCAAAAAUCCGGUGCUCCAUGAUCGCAGCAAACACAUCGACGUGAAGUUUCACUUUCUUCGGGAUUGCGGCGAUGGAGGCCAGAUUGUCAUCGAGUUCGUCGACACCAAUCGGCAACUUGCUGACAUCCUCACCAAGUCCCUUGGCAGGCUUCGGUUCUUGGAGCUGAGGGGGCUGAUGGGCAUGGUGGAGAUCAAGGGCUGACAGGCAGGACUAGGGGAAGAUUGUGAGUGAUAGUCUGCUGUCCCCCUUUUCCCCUUGCCCUGCGUUUUGCAGGAACAAGUGGUCAGCUUCAGCUGCCACUCUAGAGGUAUGGCAAUAGGCCAUUGAGUCUUUCAUAGUUGGUAGAGGUACACCAGUAGUUGGUAGAAGUACACCAGCUAGAGUAGAGGGCUGGUAUGGGCAGGUACAAGAGUAGUUAAUGGCUGAUAUAAGCCACGUAGAGUAGUUGUAUGGAG
rnacentral:lncRNA from 1 species